CUUGAGCAUCUUAGGCUAUCCUUAGGCUGGACUUCCAACUCUCAGCAUCUCUUCAGUCACCGGGUGAAGAGAACCACGAGCAACUUUAUGACUCUGCACACUUCUUGCUGUCGAACUUUCUGAUCAUUCCACCACAAUGGCUUGCUUUGGGCCGAAUGUCCAUCAAAUGUCAUGUUGCACGAAGCUUCCAGAUUCACAGGUGAUCGUACAACCGCCCCCCAGCAAGGUCAUCGUCCCAGGACCUGUGUUGAGUGCUUCGUGUGGACCCGUCACCGCUGGAGCUCAAACUGCUUGCCUUCCUCGAAGGGUUAGAAGGUUUGGCAAGCUGAGCCAGCUUUUCUCCAGUUGCAAGGUGGAGUCUUCUAAAGCUCACAAGGUUCAUAGGAAAAAGUCACCUUAUGGGCAUUCUUAUUGUCUUCAGAGGCAACCACCUUCCUCCUCAUACAGUUAUAUAAGAGAAUAAGUCAAAAAGGAAUAUAUGGUGACAAUAAAAAUUAAAAAAAACACACACCCA